UACGUAGGGGGCCAGCGUUGUCCGGAAUCAUUGGGCGUAAAGAGCGCGUAGGCGGCCCUGUAAGUCCGCUGUGAAAGUCAAGGGCUCAACCCUUGAAUGCCGGUGGAUACUGCAGGGCUAGAGUCCGGAAGAGGCGAGUGGAAUUCCUGGUGUAGCGGUGAAAUGCGCAGAUAUCGGGAAGAACACCCGUGGCGAAGGCGGCGCUCUGGGACGGUACUGACGCUGAGACGCGAAAGCGUGGGGAGCGAACAGG
rnacentral:rRNA from 1 species